UUACGGCCAUAACACGUUGAAACAUCGAUUUCCGUACAAUUACCGAAGUUAAACACCGUAGAGACUAGUCAGUAUCUAGAUGGGUGAUCGCUUGGGAACACCAGGUGCUGUAAG